rnacentral:rRNA from 1 species
GCGAACGGGUGAGUAAUAUAUCGGAACAUACCCAGUAGUGGGGGAUAACUAUCCGAAAGGAUAGCUAAUACCGCAUACGAUCUGUGGAUGAAAGCAGGGGAUCUUCGGACCUUGUGCUAUUGGAAUGGCCGAUAUCUGAUUAGCUAGUUGGUAGGGUAAAAGCCUACCAAGGCGACGAUCAGUAGCUGGUCUGAGAGGACGACCAGCCACACUGGAACUGAGACACGGUCCAGACUCCUACGGGAGGCAGCGGUGGGGAAUGUUGGACAAUGGGGGCAACCCUGAUCCAGCAAUGCCGCGUGAGUGAAGAAGGCCCUCGGGUUGUAAAGCUCUUUUGUCAGGGAAGAAACGGAGUUCUCUAAUAUAGGAUUCUAAUGACGGUACCUGAAGAAUAAGCACCGGCUAACUACGUGCCAGCAGCCGCGGUAAUACGUAGGGUGCAAGCGUUAAUCGGAAUUACUGGGCGUAAAGCGUGCGCAGGCGGUUUUGUAAGUCUGAUGUGAAAUCCCCGGGCUCAACCUGGGAACUGCAUUGGAGACUGCAAGGCUAGAGUGUGUCAGAGGGGGGUAGAAUUCCACGUGUAGCAGUGAAAUGCGUAGAGAUGUGGAGGAAUACCGAUGGCGAAGGCAGCCCCCUGGGAUAACACUGACGCUCAUGCACGAGCGUGGGGAGCAA